AGAGGGAGGAGAGGAGGAGAGGUGAGAGGUUGCAGCGGAGUUGUAUGGGAUGCUGCUGCUGAUGCUGCUGCAGAGGCUCCAUCUAUCCAUCCAUCCAUCCAUCGCUCCAUCCCUCCCUCGAAGAGAAAGCAGAAAACAAGGAGUGGUUAUGUGAUUCCCCACAAGCAGGAGGAGAAGCGCACAGGGGAGAAAGGAAUAGCAGGGAGAGGAGAAGGGGGGGUUGGGGGCGUUUCCCUGCACGGUAUUGCCUAUUCUCACUCCUCGGCAUGGAUACAAUGUGAUGCAUAUGGAGCUACUUCUUCAGGAAAGCUGGACACAACGGUGCUGUCCUGAAAGAUUUGCCUCUGUGCAGACCUCCUCCAUCCUUCCUUCCCUCCACGCUGCGAUCAUAUGCAGAGAGCUGAAGGAGCUGGAAAGGAGUAAAAAAGGAGGGAGAAAGUAAUGGAGGGGGGAGGAGGUGGGCCUCUUUGCUCCGGUCUCGACCACGGGUAUUCUUGGGUUGAUAAUACAGAUGUGGAUGUUAUUGCUUGAGAAUACGCGUAGUCGAGUGGAAGCUUUGUCAUCUACAAGGGUCCAGAAAGCGGAGAUCUAUUCAAUCUUGGGACGGGAACGACUGCUAUGCCACAGGAUGGUAGAUGUUUGUGCAUAAGCAUCAACCCCGCUGUUGCCUCUACUCCUCUCACACUCCUAUUUUUUGUCUUCCUGGCUCAUGCUAAAAAUGUGCGAAGAGUUUGAUGCCUGUAGCAGCAACAGGAGACAGUAACACAUGAGGACACGUCAAGGCUGCACCCGUUGCUGACAUUUCAGCUUUUGGCUCAGCUGACUGACUGUCAUGAUGGAGACCCACACACACACACACACACACACACACAUAGAUGCACACACACAGGCAGACACAUAUAAACUGCAUAAGGGUUUCACAUGAUCAACAUGCCUGUAGGGAUAUAAGGGAUUGAUGGGCUUUAAGAAAACCAGCAUUUGGAUCUCCACAUACAUUUGAAUGCACACAUUGCAGCGAGGUUCACUGAGUACAUGUGCCAGUGGGGAAAUAAGGGAUUGAUUGAUUUUAUGGGUAACUAUUUUUAGUCAGAAUGAUGGAUGCUUAUGUCUUUUAUUGAUCAAGUUGAGGUGCAGGUCUGAAGAAUUCUUAGAGUCUGGGCCUGCUGAUUAAUCAGGUAGCUGUGGAGUUGGAAUAAAACAUCCAGAAAUACAUUUUUGGUACAUUAGCAUUAUUGCUAAGUACUAUAAAUUAAAAACUCAAAGUUUCAUUGCGAAUUCAGCAGUUUAUUAGCAUCUGUUUGCGAAUGCGCCUGUGAUAAAUUACACUCUGAUCAUUUACUACUCCAUGAUUUCUUACUCCUGUGUAAGCAAAUCUCUUAUUUAUUAGCACAGAAAGUAAUUAUAAUUUAUACACAUUUCACACUGACGUUGUGUAAACUUGUUGAUUUGGCAAAGCUGUUUCUGUGGUUUUGUGUGUAUUUGUGUAUGCAUGUGUGUGUGUUUUCUAAGCAACAAAAUGACUAUUGUGAGCACAGCUCCAGGUGCCUAGCAACCGAAUCGCUCUGUUUCCUUGGCAACAGUUGCCUCGCACUCACUGUGUGGGUGAUUGGCAGCCUUGACAACGGAGAAGGAGUGACACUUGACCUCGCGUGCUGAAUGGGAGAGGAGAAAGAAGGAGCGAGAAAUAGAAGAGAGAGGGGGAGGCAGUGGGAGGGGACGAGCACAGACAGAUGAGAGACUAAGUGAUAAUCAUUCUCUAUUGUAAUCAUCCUCCAGCGUGUUUCAUAAGGCGACGGCAAUACCUCUCCAGCUGGGGUCCAUCAUCACACACAAUGCAUGGUGUGGCGCGAGUAUGCACCGACACACUCCUUCCUGGGUGGAGAGCCCAAGCAGGCACUCCACAUCUCAUCUAUUAUCACUCAGCCCUGCCUGGUGCACAGCCUCACUACACUGUGUCUGCUUUCACUUGUGAUCUGCUGCAUCCUGCGCUCAGCAGGCAUGAAUGGAUACUGGACUCCUGAAAAUGUGUCAUGGUCACAGAUGCCACAGAAGAGGAGAUCAGAAGGCACGCACAGAGACAUUUUACUUUGAAACUGGCACUUCCACUUCUGUUUGACACCUUUGAAUGGAAGUAGUGUAACUAUUAAAAUCUGUUUUUUGGCAGUUCUCCAUCUAUUCACUGGCUGAAGGGAUCCCAUUGUACCAGGUUUAACAAAAAAAAAAUUUUUUUCAUGACUGGCUCCACCUGUGUUAAAUGAUGGAGUACUGGCACUGUGGAGAAGUGCAAAUAAAAAGCAACAUUCAGA